ensembl:lncRNA
UUUUUUUUUUUUGGCUGCACCUAUAGCAUGCAGAAGUUCUCUGGCCAAGAAUCAAAGCUAUGCCAUAGCAGCAACCAUAGCCACAGCAGUGACAGUGCCAGAUCCUUAACCCACUGAGCCACCAGGCAACUCCAAGGCAAUAUUCCUUUUCAUGGUGCUUAUUAAAACUCUCAACAGUCUUUGCUUUCAUGGUAGUUUAAGAAAGUAAGAGGUAAAUUCCACAUAAGAAACCAUGAAACAAAACAAAAAAACAAAGAAAAAAAAAUGAAAUGGUGUAUGGGCUUAUAUCAUUUCUCCCAGAAUUAAGAAUUUUGUAUUGUUUGAAAUUUCUUUCCACAACAAAUUUUUAGGAGUCUCAGCUAUGGACAUCCUUCCUUCCCCCAAACUCCUUUUCACAGGCUAAUACUUGUUUAUAAAGCAAAUGGUACAUUCUCUGGCACUUACUAUGAGUUCAUGCAUGGGGCAACCCCAUGUACUGAGUCAGAAUGGACUCUCACCUUGGCCCUGGAUCAAACAUGACCUGAAUCUAUACAAGGAUUUGUCUUUGCAAGGCUCCAGGCAAUCUGACUCUCAUCUCCCCAGCAACCUGCAGACCCACACUGCUUUGUGACAGGUCAGCCCAUUUAUCGCACUCCAUGUGAACCUUGCAGUGGGUAACUGGAGUUCAUAGCAUAAUCAAGAGGACCUGGACACCACUGGGAGCCUUAGAUGUCAACAUACUCUCAAGAAAAGCAUGCACAUGGAGUAUCUGACCAUGGAGAUCUCUGCUGAAGUGCUAUUGGACUAAAUCUGCCAAUGCAAUCUUGUACCCCAGAAACUGACCAACAUGUAAUGCAUUUGAGAAAUGUUGACAUAAGGAAUUAAAACCCAGUUUGGGGGGUUGAAAAAGAGAUGACAGAACAAAACACAUGCUUGAAACACAUUCCUAUUCAAACCCACACACAUUCUUAAGAAUCCUUGUACGAUACAAGGCUCUUCUGGGAGCAGAUGGCCUUGCAAUUUUCAAAUCCCCAUAGAUUCUGCAGAGUGCUGACUGUAUGGUAAGUAAAAUUCUAAAAAUUCAAUUACUUGUAACACAAGGUUGGGAAAAGUACUUCUGAAGAUAUAUGUUAUCCUCCUUAAAUAGGAUAAAUAAUGGCUUAUUCUAAAAGUGUAAGCAUUUAUUAUUCUUAAAAUAAUGUGAUUCUCCUUUGAAUUUCUUGAAAGUAAACACUAUUUACAUUCGCUUUUUAAAAUAAUCACCCUAUUGAAUUUUUGCCUGAGAAUGAUGUGAAGGAUGUAAAACCUAUACAGCACAAUUUGCUUAGUAACUUUUCAAUGCUUGAGCCUAAAAAGUGGCCUGUCUCCCUCUGUAUUUCCACAGGGAUCUCUCUGUCUAGCACAUUUUCCCAUGUACUUUUCAAAUCCUAGAGGGAAGCAGGACCUCACAUUAACCAGGAAACAGGGAGCAUACGUGUCAGCUCUCACUUGUAUUCCAUGACCCUCUACUGUCCCUUACCCAUAGUUUCAGAUAGGACAAGCAAAAAGUACACUCUAUCCCUUGGGUUGCAAACAGAUGGAAAUAUCACACCCCACCUCUAGGACAAGCAGUUUUCAAGUCACUGAGAUGGUAAAGCACAAAACUGCUAGCUAAAGAAAACUGGCCUUAAAUAUAAGCACCUUGAGGACNGAAUAAUCAUGCUCUUCUUACAUUGCUAUCUCCAUAGGCAUGGUUUCUCCUGUUGGGUUCAGGGCCUUGAUCAAGACAGGCACCAUCAAAUGCUUUUAUUUUUCUUUGAACGACAGAUCUAGGAAAGGACUUGGAGAUGAUCUGGCACUUCAUUCACCCCAGCCUCCUGCAUCACCUUAGCACCAAUCAAGAGUCCCAGCUUAUCAGCUAAGCAAGACUCUAUGAAUCACACACAGCAAAGGGGAUAAAACAUCCCCCAUGCAAUCUGCAGAAAAGACAGAUGCAAAGCAGGCUGCCAGGUUAGCCUCUCUGACUGCCAAAGAAAUGUCAACUGAUUACACUCCAGAAGGAAAAGGGGACAGAUGGAUUGACAUGACUAAUGUCAUUAGCCUAUUUGCCUCUGGGAAUUAGAAACAAGGAGAAAACAUGAGAGUAUGUACCCAUAUGCUUCACAAAGGUAAGGGCUGGGAAUAUUUCAGCUUGUUUCUUGGUAAAAAGAAGCAGUCCUUCUCUAUUACAUAUUCUUCCAUUUCUCUUGCAACCCGUCUGUGAAUAUCAGAGUGAAAUCUAUUAGAAUUCACUGGCUCACAGGACCACACUCAGGGAAUCAGGAUUAUAACACAUUUAUGGGAGACUGUUCUCUGAAUAGAAAACCACAGUGAGAAGCAACCCACAACAAGAAAAAAGGCUUAAGAUUAAAAGUCUUGUCCAAAAAGAUAAAAAUAGAUUAGAGGAAACUUUUUUGAUUGAUUGAUUUUUUUUUUCCAAGAGAGAAGAGGUAAAACAGAAGGAGAAUGAGAAGGGAAGGGAAGAGAAAGGUGAAGAGAAGUUCCAGUGGAAGGGGAAAAGAUGUUUAUGGGCUCUCUCUCUCUCAAGCUAUCUUUCCCCUCUAUGUCCCCAAAAUCUCCCACUUCAUUUGUAUUCAACAGACUCAUGUUGAUUCUCCUGAAACUCAGCUGUCAGAAACUUCAUCUGUUAAAACAUUAGUUUUGAGGUAGGUGAAAAAGAAAGCUGAUAUAGUAAAUCUGAUACAACCACUACCACCAUAACAAAAAAAAAAAAAUGACAUUUAUUUUUGAGUGAGCUGUAUUGAACCUCUAUAAUAGUAACAUAAUUGCCAAAUUUAGAUUAGGUAAACAAAAUUUCAAUACAGCAGUGGAGAAAAGGCAUGUCAUUCUUCGUACAGUGUGAUGAGUGUCUGUGUUUACUUUAAGCUAAUAUUUCUAAACAGAAAAAUGAAAAACAGAUUUAAAGGCCAAUUGAGAAGCAGGAAUACAAAUAUUCUUCUGAAUAUUUGCAAGGGUUUAAAAAGAAACUUCCAGGGCUAAGAAUGAAUAGUGUCCAUGGGGUAUAAGUACUCAUCAGUCUUACCUCAGUAAUGGGGGACAAUUAACCCUAGAAUGAGCAAUCUUCCAGUUGUGCAUAAUCAAUAAUAAAAGCAAGACUGAAGGAUAAAGCUGUUUCUAAAGAAUUUAAAUGUGCCUCAAAACAUAGCACAAUAAUAUUUAUAGAAAGACAGAAAUAUCAAGCAUUCGGCAAGUUAAAAUACACAGCAUAUUGCAUCCAAACAGUGACUGGAAGGAAUGUACCAAAGAAUGAACUACAACCCAUGAUGAAUAAAUAUCAAUCAAUCAACAGUGGACAGACCCAGAACUUACAAAAAUGGUAACAUUAACAGACAAAGACAUUGAAAAAAUUAUUAUAACUCUAUUCUUGGUUCAUUCUUCUGCAUUAUUCAUUCUGGUUUUUACUGCCCCUAGUUGUAAAUCAACCAUACUUUAGUUAAAAAAAUAAGAAUAAAGUGUAAAGCAAUAAAAAAAAAAAAGCUUGGACUUUCAGAAAUGAAAACUAAAAUAUCUGAAAUAAAAAACCAUAUGAAGAUAACUGCAGACUAGACAUGGCAGGAGAAAAAAAUAGUGAGUUCGAGGACAGCAAUAGAAACUACAGAUGGAAAAUUUAAAAAAAAAGAGUAUAAUAAAUUUUCUGAACUGAAUGAAAAUUGAAACAUAACAUAUCAGAAUCAUGGGUGCCAUUAAAUAAGUACUGAAGAAAGCUACAACACUGCUUAUUUUUAGAAAAGUUUUCAAGUCAAUGACCUUUGCUUCUACUUCAUAAAACUAGGGUGGUGGAAGAUUGCGGGGAGCUGAGAAGACACAAGGAGCCAAAGAAGGGUGCUUGCCUGAACGGUGCAAUUCUGAAGGCAGGCUCCUAAUCAGAAAAAGGGGCCUGUCUGAACGGUGCAAUUCCGAGGGCAGAUUCCUAAACAAGGAGACAUCUGCCUCUAUGGCACAAUUCCGAAGACAAUAAGGCUCCAGAAGACAAUAAGGCUCCAGAAGACAAUAAGUCUCGCCUGCUGACAUUGGUGGGGAACUGAAUUUUCCAGGAAACAAUUUCCAUUUUACGUUGCUGAGUGGGGAUUGUUCCAUGGAUGACUUAGUCUUUUCUGUUAUUCACUUGUUAUUCAGUUUUCCUCAGUCUUUCCUGAUUAUUUGCUUAUUACUCUUAUUUUCCAGUGGUGAUUUGUGAUUUAACAAAGUUACAACAAUAAUAUAAUAAGAAUUUCAUCCUGAAGGACUUUCCCCUAUUUAAAUCCAACUUAGUUAAAACAUAGUGUUUAUCUACUAACUAGUUAUACAGUAAACUUUAGAGUUAGGAUUUUAAUGAGGUUCAUAGAAGUUAGACAUAUAUUAUCCAAGAAACCUAGCUGUAAGUUUUGUCCUUGAUUUUAAAAGCUUUUAAGUGACAGCUAGUUUAGUUUAGUUGGUUUAUAUUUUCUUACACUGUCUCCCUGCCAUAGCUCUUUAAAGAUAAGCACCAGUCUAAAAACAAGAUUUGUGAAUGCCAAAUUCUUAUGUCUGUGACCUCUUCAACUUGUGGAGACUGACUGGCUAUGGGAUGAUUUGUACUGAGUCUCCUCCUUUCCACAUGAUGUAUUGUACCUAAUUGCCCUUAAAUUGUAUUCACUAAAUUUAGUUAAAACUAAGAUCUUAGAACAUGAUGUGUACCUGCUAUAACAUGUAAUAGUUAACCAAUGUACUUUUAACACUGUGAUGUAAUCUGUAGUGAAAAACUGUCUAUAUAAUCAAUCACUUAUGCCAAUAAAAUUUGAGCAGUCCAGUGCCCUGAAAGAAGGCACAAAGAGGCUGCCUCUGUAUGUACAUUUGCCAACGCGUGUCCCUCUCCUAUCGGGAAAAAUGUACACUCCCUGGCCACCAGAGCUGGCCUCCGGCAGAAGAUCAAAUGUAAAUAGAAGAAAGAAAUUAAUAAAGAUGAAACAAGAAAUCAAUGAAACAGAAAACAAAAUAACAUAGGAAAAAAAAUCAAUGAAACCAAAGCUGAUUCUUUAAGAAGAUCAGUAAGUCUUUACAAGACUAAUAAGGGGAAAAAAAGAAAGCAAAGAUUAUCAAUAUCAGGAAUGAGAGAGGUGACAUUAUUUCAGGAUCUACCCAUGUUUAAAAAUAUAAGAGAAUGUUAUGAACAAAUUCAUGCUGACACAUUCUACAGCUCAGAUGAAAUGAUCAAACUCUUCGAAGACACAAACUACUAAUAUUCACUUAGGAAACGAUAGGUAACAUGAAAAACCCUACACCUAUUUAGGAACUUAAAUUUUUAGUUAAAGCCUUUCCACAAAGACUGUGGUUUUAAUUGUGAACUCUAUCAAACAUAAAAGGGAAGAUUAGUAUAAACACUAUACAAAAUCUUCCAGAAAACUGACAAGUAGGGAAUGAUUCCCACCUUAUUUUCUGAGGUCAAAUUUACAUCGACACCUGAAUCUGACAGAAAUCACAAGAAAAGAAAACUACAGAUCAAUAUCCAUGUUGAAACUUCAUGUGAAAUUUUAGCCAAAUUUUUAACAAAUCAAAUCAACUACAUAGGAAAAGGAUAAUACAUCUUAACCAAUUUGAGUUUAUCUCAGCAAUCCAAGGUAAGUCUGACAUUUUUAAAAAACAUUAACCAAUGUGAUACAACAUAUUAACAAAAGAAAAAUCAUAUUAUCACAAUAGAUAAAGAAGAAACAAUUUUUAACAAAUUUCAACAUCCAUGCCUCAUUGAAAAAACUGAGCAACCUAGGAAUAGAGGAGAACUUCAACCUAAUAACAAGCAUCUAUGAACAUCUACUACAAACAUCAUAAAUCAUCAUAAUUAAUGGUAAAAAGACCAACCACUUUCUUCUAAAAUUAGGAAACAAGACAAGGGUAGUAUUUUUACCACUUCUUGUUCAGGAACACUGAAAAAGAGAGUCUAGCCAGUGUAAUAAGGCAAGAAAAUGAAAUAAAAAUCAUUGAGAUUAGAAAGGAUAAGGCAACCCUGUCUUUAUUUACAUACAACAUGACUGUAAAGAAUCCAAGGGAAUCUACAAAAAGUUACUAGAGCUAACAAAUAAGUUUAACAAGAUAGCAAGAUAUAAUAUCAAUACAGAAAAAACUUUUAUUUCUAUGUACUAGCAACAAUCAAUUGGAAAUUGCAGUUAAAAAAGCUCCACAGGAGUUCCCGUCGUGGCACAGUGGUUAACGAAUCCUACUAGGAACCAUGAGGUUGUGGGUUCGGUCCCUGCCCUUGCUCAGUGGGUUAAGGAUCUUGUGUUGCCGUGAGCUGUGGUGUAGGUUGUAGAUGCGGCUCGGAUCCCCAGUUGCUGUGGCUCUGGUGUAGGCCAGUGGGUACAGCUCCGAUUAGACCCCUAGUUUGGGAACCUCCAUGUACUGCAGGAGCGGCCCAAGAAAUGGCAAAAAGAC